GAAAUUGAAAUUGGCGGCCAAAUCCCUAAAUCACCAAAGUGAACCCAAAUUCACCCCCCACAGCAUCCAUGACUCCCACAUCUUGAAUUCCUAAUCGAAGCCCUUCAUAACCCUCUGAAAUUCAUCGAAUUGGAAAGGCUAGGGUUUGUCUGUUUCAAGUGUGUUUUGAAGAUCUUGUGAAGUUGAGUCGAUUCUCCGUUAACGUUAUUUGAUUAUUCUAGUUGGAAUGGGCAAGUAACAUUAACAAGGCGUUGAUUCUAUUUCAAGUUUGUUCCAAGCAGAGUUUGGGGUGAGUUUUCCUUAUUAAUUCUUUUAGUUUAGUUAGUUUCUUGAUUAUUAACUCCUCUCGUCGCCCUUCUGAUAAGUUUGAAUGAUAAUAAUUAGUUUAGUUAGGCCGUUCUUUGGUUUCCAAUCCUUUGUUCAUGCUUGAUUGACAAACUUUUGAUUCAUCUCUUUUCGUCGUUUCAUAAUUAGUUAAGCUUUAUUUCUUAUUAUUUUCAGUUUUCAGAUUUGAUUUUUUUUUUCUGAAUUUUGACUGCUCUUCUCCUCCUUUGAUUCAAGUUAGUUAUUUGGUUUAGUUUCUAAUUAAUUUAGUGUAGAUUAAUUUCAGUCGUCAAGCUUUUAGACAAUUUCAGAUCCUUAAGGGUGCUUUAAGGUUCAGUUAGUAAUUUCUCCAACUGUUAAUAUUAAUUGGUGGCCUAAUAGGGUUGGUUAUAGCUGAAGAAGUUUUUUUGUUAGGUAACUGAACUUAGUAAUUUCUCCAAGUGUUAGUGUUAAUUUGUGGCCUAAUAGGGUUGGUUAUAGCUGAAGAAGUUCUUUUGUUAGGUAACUGCAGUCAUGUUCAUAACUGGGGGUUAAGGGGUUGGGUCAGUUAGCAUGAGAUGUAAUUUUUAGAGUGAUAGAAGGGCAUUCUAAGGAUGGAAAAGAGGUAGUUUUUAGAAUAAUGGUAAUUCCAAAACAGGGGAUGGGUAACUUAGGAAUUGCAUAGCUAAAAGAGCAUCCUAGAAGUUCCUAAAAUAGGACCUUAGUGUAGUUUUUAAUAAAACUAGGGCAAUAACUUGAGGAAUAAGUUAGAAAAUUGAGGUUUAAAGUGUAAAUAAUCAGGGACUAAAAGAAAAAAAACCAAAAAUCUGGUCAUUUACCCUAAAGUGGCCUAUAAAUUGAGAUCAUCAUUGCUUGUGAAGGGGGGUUCUUCUUUUUCAGCCAAGAUUUGGACACUUUCUGAAAAAACGGCAGAGGUUUUAGCCAUCAAUAUAUAGUCUAUUCUUCUAGUUUUUUUUAGUUUUUAAAUUGGAGAUUCGAAACAAAAAAAUCCAAAAACAAUAAAAAAACAUAAAAUCAGAAUAUAGUAUUGUUUCAUUGCCUAGUUUAGCCCGUUUUUCAAUUCCUAUUUGAAUUUCUCUGCUCCUGCUUGAUGUGUGGGUUUACAAAGGUAUCUGGAGGAAUUUGGUAGCUGGUUGAGUAAAUUUGGGUUGCAUAUUUGAGUAUUUGACAUUGCUCUGGAGAACUGAAUUGUAUUUUAUCCCUACUGUUGUUGUGUUCACUUUAUUUCUGGGCAAUUCAUUCUAUUUUCUGGGUUUUUAAGUUCUAUUGUGUUGCUGCACAACUUUUGCUGCUACUGACCUUCUCUCCUACUUAUUUCUAUUCAUUUUCAGGUAUUUUUCCAGCUUUAUGUGGUGUUGAAAAGCUGAAUCUAUGUAUAUUGGUCGAAAUGAGGAAAUGAAAUCUGGAUCAUGUUAAUUUGAUAUCAAUUUUGUUAAUUUCAAUUGUAACUUAACAGUAGUGGUAGUAAAGACUUGGUUGAUUGAAACGCUUAAAGAAUUGUGGUAACUGAACUGUAAUAGGACUGUCCAUUUUUAUAUUCAGGAUUUGUUAAAUUUGGGCUUAUAAACUCAUGAAUACACUAGCAGAUUAUGCGGUAUAGCAGAUGCAGCGAACCUAUUUAGUUUUGGCUUGCUGUUGUAGUUUAACGCCAUGAACUAUUCGACUAAGGUUUGAGUUGUGUGGUAAUUGGCAUGAGGAUUGUGUACUGAUAAUUGCUAGAUUAAUGACUAUGGAAUGGAAUUAACUAUAUAUCUGCAUGUUUAAUUGUAAAAUUGGCAGACUCAUUUAGUUCAAUACUAGC
rnacentral:lncRNA from 1 species